rnacentral:rRNA from 1 species
GACGAACGCUGGCGGCGUGCCUAAUACAUGCAAGUUGAGCGCUGAAUGUUGGUCCUUGUACCAACUGGGUGAGCAGCGAACGGGUGAGUAACGCGAGGGGAAUCUGCCUUUGAGCGGGGGACAACAUUUGGAAACGAAUGCUACUACCGCAUAAAAACUUUAAACACAAGUUUUAAGUAUGAAAGAUGCAAUUGCAUCACUCAAAGAUGAUCCCGCGUUGUAUUAGCUAGUUGGUGAGGUAAAGGCUCACCAAGGCGAUGAUACAUAGCCGACGUGGGAGGUGAUCGGACACCUUGAGACUGAGACAGGGCCCCAACCCCGACGGGUGGGAGCAGUAGCGAAGCGGCGGCUAGGGACGAGAGUUUGACCGAGAAACGGCGAGUCAGUGAAGAAGGGUUUCGGAUUGUAAAAUUUUGUUUGUAGAGGAGAAGGGUGGUGAGAGUGGAAAUCUCAGCAAGUGACGGUAACUACCCAGAAAGCGACGGCUAACUACGUG